rnacentral:rRNA from 1 species
CAGUCGCCGCGGUAAUGCGAAGGGGGCUAGCGUUAAUCGGAAUUACUGGGCGUAAAGCGUGCGUAGGCGGUUUGUUAAGUCUGCUGUGAAAUCCCCGGGCUCAACCUGGGAAUGGCAGUGGAUACUGGCAAGCUAGAGUGUGUCAGAGGAUGGCGGAAUUCCCGGUGUAGCGGUGAAAUGCGUAGAGAUCGGGAGGAACAUCAGUGGCGAAGGCGGCCAUCUGGGACAACACUGACGCUGAGGCACGAAAGCGUGGGGAGCAAACAGGAUUAGAUACCCGCGUAGUCCCUGUCUCUUAUAC